AUGUAGGACAAUCUGUCCUUAACUGGAGAUUACUCUAAAAGGAAUGCAUUCUAUAUAGUUUUCAAGCCAAGCAACUUGU
rnacentral:pre_miRNA from 1 species